GCUUCUGUGAAACCGCAUGGACUGGGCCGGGUCCACUCGACCGGCCCAGCCCAAAAACAAAUGGGAGGAAGACUCCGACUGGGGUCUUCCUCUUCCUUUUCGAUCGAGAAGAGGACUUCUCUUCGAUCGCGAUGGGAUUGGAAGUCCAUCGCGAUCCGGAGACCUUUGGAUAAGGCUGGGAGAAAUCUUUUAUAGAGCGCCUCCUCCUCCUUUGAGUUCGUCCAAGGUGGAGUCACCAAAUCCUAUCUUUUCUUCCGGUUUGGGUCCUUCUCUUCCUCGAUUUUUUGCCGAAGAAGGAGCCGCCGGAUCCCUGCCGGAACUGAGGUAAGAGUUCCUACUCCUCUUCUCUUCAUCUCUUGGCACUUGGAUGUGAUUCUUCAUAGAUUUGAGCCGGCCAAUCGCUGGAGUUUGGAUUCGGGAUAGGGCACUCUGUUUCUUCGCUGUCGGCUCGUGUUCACCGCCGUCGGCAGCCGAGGUUGGCCGAGCCUCUCUUGCCGUCGACGGGGCUGGCCACCGCGGCCGCCCUGGGACCGACCGAGAUGGAAGAAGAAGAGGAGGGGAGAGAUCCGAAGAAUUAGCUGGAUCCGGGGUUCUACAAUAUGGAAGAGCGGCUAGAAGAAUUAAGACACAAGUUAUCUUAUAUUAGAAUUUAUUUAAAUUGUUGUUUUACUUAGACAAUUGCUGGACUUGUGAGACAUUGUAAGUUGUGUUAGUUAAAGAAAUAAAGUUUGCAUAAUAUUAGUUAAAAUAUUUUCGCUACC